CACCUCUCUGUCUCUCUCUCUGUCUCUCUCCCCCCACCUCUCUGUGUCUCUCUCUGUGUGUCUCCCUGUCUCUCUUUGUCUCUCUCUCUGUCUCUCUCUGUCUCUGUUUCUCUCUGUGUCUCUCUCUGUCUCUCUCCCCCUCACCUCUGUGUCUCUCUCUCUGUGUGUCUGUCUCUCUCUGUCUCUGUCUCUAUCUCUCUCCCCCUCACCUCUCUGUGUCUCUCUCCCUAUCUCUCUCUGUGUCUCUGUGUGUCUCUCUCCCCCUCACCUUUCUGUGUCUCUCUGUCUCUCUCCCCCUCACCUCUCUAUCUGUCUCUCUGUGUCUCCCUGUCUCUCUCUCUCUGUCUCUCGUUCUGUCUCUUUCUGUGUGUCUCUCUCUCUGUGUCUCUCUGUUGCUCUGUUUCUCUCUGUGUCUCUCUCUCUUUCUCUCCCCCUCACCUUUUUAUCUGUGUCUCUCUGUGUGUGUCUCUAUGUCUCUCUGUCUCUCUCUCUCUCUGUGUCUCUGUCUCUGUGUCUCUCUCUCCCCCUCACCUCUGUGUCUCUCUCCCUCUCUCUCUCCCCCUUACCUAUCUGUGUCUCUCUGUCUCUGUGUCUCUCUCUGUCUCUGUCUCUCUCCCCCUCACCUCUCUGUGUCUCUCUGUGUCUCUCCCUGUCUCUCUCCCCCUCACCUCUCUGUGUCUCUCUGUGUCUCUCCCUGUCUCUCUCCCCCUCACCUCUCUCUGUAUCUCUCUGUCUCUCUCCCUCUCUCUCUCCCCCUCACCUAUCUCUGUCUCUUUGUGUCUCUCUCUGUGUCUCUGUCUCUCUCCCCCUCACCUCUCUCUCUGUGUGUCUCUCUCCGUCUCUCUCCCUUUCCCCAGCCCUCUCCUAUGGGGCAGAAUCAGAGGAGAGGGCUGGUGCUGGAAGGAAGCCAGUCCUCAGAUUUUCGUUUCUCUUCUUGCCCUCAACGCUUUCCCUCCCUCCUCUGGGAGAGAGGGGGACCCCUGUACCUGCAGCUCUGUGUGUGUGCGUAUGUCGGUGUGUGUGGUGUGUGCUUGCAUGUGUGUGGGCCUUAUGUGUGGUGUGUGUUUUGUGUGUGCAUGGUGUAUUUUGUGUUUUUGUGUGUGGUCUGUGUGUGGCGUGUGAUGUGUAUGUAUGCAUAGUGUGUGUGGUGUGGUGUGUGUGGUGUCUGCGUAUCUGUGUGUGGUGUGUAGUGUGCAUGUGUGCUCUGUGGUGUAUUUUGUGUGUGCAUUGUGCAUCUGUGGUGUGUGGUGUGUUUGGUGUGUUUUGUGUGUGUGGUAUGUGUGGUGUGUAUGUGUGUAGUGUAUAUGUUUGGUGUGUGGUGUGUAUAUGUGUGUGGUGUGUGUGGUGUUUUGUGUGUAUGGUGUGUGUGUUUUGUGUGUGGUGUGUUUUGUGUGUGUGGUGUGUUUUGCAUGUGGUGUUUUGCGUGUGGUGUGUGGUGUGUUUUGCGUGGUGUGUUUUGUGUGUGUGGUGUGUGUGUAUGUUUUUGUGUGUGGUGUGUUUUGUGUGGUGUGUAUGUUUUUGUGUGUGGUGUGUUUUGUGUGUGUGGUGUGUGUGUAUGUUUUUUGUGUGGUGUUUUGUGUUUGUGUGUGGUGUUUUGUGUGUGUGGUGUGUUUUAUGUGUGUUUUUUUGUGUGUGGCAUGUGUACAUUUUGUGUGUGUAUGUUUUGUGUGUGUGGUGUGUGUUUGUGUGGUGUGUUUUGUGUGUGUGGUGUGUAUGUGUUUGCGUGGUGUGUUUUGUGUGUGUGGUGUGUAUGUGUUUGUGUGUAUGUUUUGUGUGUGUGGUGUGUAUGUGUUUGUGUGGUGUGUUUUGUGUGUGUGGUGUGUAUGUGUUUGUGUGGUGUGUUUUUUGUGUGUGGUGUGUAUGUGUUUGCGUGGUGUGUUUUGUGUGUGGUGUGUAUGUGUUUGGUGUGUUUGGUGUGUGUGGUGUGUAUGUGUUUG
rnacentral:lncRNA from 13 species